GGCUCCGGGGCCCAGUCAGGUUCGGGGUCCGCCCCGCCCGCCCGCUCGCCCGCCUCCCUUUCCCCUCUAUCUCACCCCAGCGUGAAGCGGUUCGGGAGUCUGGACUCGGGCCCAGGGUCCCAAUCCUCCCUCGGCCACGAAGCUCCCUCGGGGCCCCCGGGCCAGUCACCGCUUCACAGGCUUGAGCCCUCUUUCCCCGACCCCGCACAGCGCUCAGGGCUGUUAGGGAAUCAGUUGAUGGUGCAGUGGUUAGAGCGACAGACCUGGACCUGGGAGACCAGGGCUCCUUUCCCCACUCGCCCAUGAAGCUGGCUUGGUGACCUUGGGCUCAGCCUAAGCCUACUUUGCAAGGUGGUUGUUGGGAGCUGGAGAACCAUGUAAGCCACCUUGAGCUCCAUGGAGAAAAUGGUGGGACAUAAAUGCAACAAAGAAGUAAAUAAAUAAGCAAGGCCUACACAGAUGUGGUGGACCAGGUUGGUGGGACUCUUCAGGCACCAAGUAUGGUAUCGGUCCCUGGCACAUUGUGUGUGGAAUCGCUGGUUGCCCAUCCCAUCAAAGCAUGGCUGUGAAAUGCAUUUGCAUGUUUCACCUGCACCCUAUUGUCUACUUGGUUUUGCUCAGCUGGUGGGUGGCUGAGGAGGGUGCUGUGUAUCCCUACUGGGCCUUUGCAAACAUGGCACGGGCACUCAGCUUGCAAGCCGUGACUCCAUCUGGUCCAGGCUGGCUUUCAUCUGGUUUGGGGUGGCUACAGGUAGCCCAAGCUAUGGCAAGCAGCAGCCUGGUGUGGAAUGUGGAAGGUCAGAGUGGAUUGGGUUAUACCAGGGGUGCCCAAACUUUUUUCAAAGAGGGCCAGAUUUGAUGAAGUGAACAUGUGCAAGGGCCGACCAAAGUUGUUGAGCUUUUUAAAGAAUUGUUGAGCUUUUUAAACGAUUUAACCCCAAAUUUGUUGACAUAUACUUCCACGGGGGCAAACUUAGGCUCCCGAAACGGACUUCAGACAUGCCUGGAUUACGCUAACUUUUCCUGUAGUAUUUAACCCUGUUGUUGAUAGGAGAAACCAGACUGGGUCAGCGGGAGCGGGGAGUUGAUGGUUUCUGGGUCUUAUCAGCAGAAGUUUGAACCCAGUGCACUGAGACCACUUGGUGUAAGAGCUGCACAGCAUCAGUAAAUGUUUCUUUCCUCUGUCUCCUCCUGGUGUCAGUCUACUGAGUUUAACUGCACUGUAGCAUACCAUAAUCUGAAAGAAAAGCAGCUAAGCAAAGCUAUCCCCACCCCACCCUACAAUGUUUGAAGAAAGCGCAGUCAGGAACUGGAGAAGGAGUGAAAGGGGAGUUGAACUGAAUUGUCUUAUGGGGCAGAUAAAAAAAGAUGAGGCUUCAGGCAGCUGUUUCUUGAUGCAGCAGGUGAAGAAGUAACAAGUAUUUAAUCCUUAUCUGUGGUGUUUCUCAUGGAAAAGCAAGAAACCAGUUUUGAUUGCUACAUUAGAAGCAUGCUAAGCUCCCAGAAUAAAUGCUGCAUUCUUUACUAGAUAUCCAAGUGAAGGAGACAACAUAGAUUCAUAUGUGGUUGAAAGCUGUUGGCACAAAGCUGUGUAUGGGGAGCUCCUUGUAUUGUACUGUGCGUGGCAUAAAAUCUAAGGCAGAAGUGGCUGCAAAGUUGUCAAGUCUGGGAGCAGUAUUUGUUUAUUAUUUACUUUGUAUUAUUCAACAACUUUUCAACAUGUGUGCAUUCUUCCCCUACCCCUAGUUAACUUCACAGGCAAAUUCUUUUUAGUUCCUUAAAUGUGCUGACUGGGGCUAAUAGGAGUUGUAGCUGGAAACAUUGGGAGGGCACCAGGUUGGGGAUAGUUGAACUAGAUAGAUUCCCAAGGUGAAGUACACCAACAGAAACAAAUGAGAGAACCACUCAUGGGUGCACUGAGUUCUUCUACUUUGGAAGGUGUGCGGAUCUUUGAUGUGUUUAACUUACAAAGCCUUGCAAGCUGAAACACAUCAAUACCAGAUUAGUCAUAUUUUCUGGAAAAUUUAAAGAGGCUCUAGGUAAAUGCAGUCAGAACUGCAGGUAUGUAUAUAGUCAAGGCAGGGCCACUGGACUUCUGAGUAGCAGAUUUUGAUGAACACAUUAUUUAUAGUUACUUUAGAUUUGGUGUAAGAAGUUGAUAGCAAGGGUCCCAGAAGAUCAAUAAAAUGCUAGUAACAGAUUACCAGGAUAUGUUGAAAGGAAGGCCUACAUUGCUUACGAAAAAUAAAAUACAUAAGCACCACCAGCAGUUCAUGCACUUUGGAAGGUGCCAGUGGCCUUAUACUGUAAAGGAUAAAGAUAAAAUGAAAUUGAAUCACAUGGGGGGAAAUCAUUAGUUAAAUUACAGAGG